CACGUAGGGUGCGAGCGUUGUCCGGAAUUAUUGGGCGUAAAGAGCUCGUAGGCGGUGUGUCGCGUCGGCCGUGAAAACCUGCAGCUUAACUGUGGGCUUGCGGUCGAUACGGGCAUCACUGGAGUUGGCGAGGGGAGACAUGGAAUUCCUGGUGUAGCGGUGAAAUGCGCAGAUAUCAGGAGGAACACCGGUGGCGAAGGCGGCUAUCU
rnacentral:rRNA from 1 species